AUUGAACGCUGGCGGCAGGCUUAACACAUGCAAGUCGAGCGGGGUGAUGGUGCUUGCACUAUCACUUAGCGGCGGACGGGUGAGUAAUGCUUAGGAAUCUGCCUAUUAGUGGGGGACAACAUCUCGAAAGGGAUGCUAAUACCGCAUACUUCCUACGGGAGAAAGCAGGGGAUCACUUGUGACCUUGCGCUAAUAGAUGAGCCUGAGUCGGAUUAGCUAGUUGGCGGGGUAAAGGCCCACCAAGGCGACGAUCCGUAGCUGGUCUGAGAGAAUGACCAGCCACACUGGAACUGGGACACGGGCCAGACGCCUGCGGGGGGGAGCAGUGGGGAAUAUUGUACAAGGGGCGCAAGCCUGAUCCAGCCAUGCCGCGUGUAGGAAGAAGGCCUUCGGGUUGUAAAGUACUUUCGGCGGGAAAGAAAGCGAUGUGGUUAAUAACCGCGUCGAUUGACGUUACCCGCAGAAGAAGCACCGGCUAACUCCGUGCCAGCCGCCGCGGUAA
rnacentral:rRNA from 1 species